rnacentral:rRNA from 1 species
AUUGAACGCUGGCGGAAUGCUUUACACAUGCAAGUCGAACGGCAGCACGGACUUCGGUCUGGUGGCGAGUGGCGAACGGGUGAGUAAUGUAUCGGAACGUGCCCAGUCGUGGGGGAUAACGUAGUGAAAAUUACGCUAAUACCGCAUACGAUCUAUGGAUGAAAGCGGGGGAUCGCAAGACCUCGCGCGAUUGGAGCGGCCGAUAUCAGAUUAGGUAGUUGGUGGGGUAAAGGCCCACCAAGCCAACGAUCUGUAGCUGGUCUGAGAGGACGACCAGCCAACCUGGAACUGAGACCCGGUCCAGACUCCUACGGGAGGCAGCAGUGGGGAAUUUUGGACAAUGGGCGAAAGCCUGAUCCAGCCAUUCCGCGUGCAGGAUGAAGGCCCUCGGGUUGUAAACUGCUUUUGUACAGAACGAAAAGGUUUCUACUAAUACUAGGAGCUCAUGACGGUACUGUAAGAAUAAGCACCGGCUAACUACGUGCCAGCCGCCGCGGUAA